GACGAACGCUGGCGGCGUGCCUAAUACAUGCAAGUUGAGCGCUGAAGGUUGGUACUUGUACCAACUGGAUGAGCAGCGAACGGGUGAGUAACGCGUGGGGAAUCUGCCUUUGAGCGGGGGACAACAUUUGGAAACGAAUGCUAAUACCGCAUAAAAACUUUAAACACAAGUUUUAAGUUUGAAAGAUGCAAUUGCAUCACUCAAAGAUGAUCCCGCGUUGUAUUAGCUAGUUGGUGAGGUAAAGGCUCACCAAGGAGAUGAUACAUAGCCGACCUGAGAGGGGGAGCUGCCACAUUGGGACGGAGACACGGCCCAAACUCCUGCGGGAGGCAGCAGUAGGGAAUCUUCGGCAGUGGACGAAAGUCUGACCGAGCAACGCCGCGUGAGUGAAGAAGGUUGUCGGAUCGUAAAACUCUGUUGGUAGAGAAGAACGUUGGGGAGAGUGGAAAGCUCAUCAAGUGACGGUAACUACCCAGAAAGGUACGGCUAACUACGUG
rnacentral:rRNA from 1 species